GAUGAACGCUGGCGGCGUGCCUAAUACAUGCAAGUCGAGCGAACAGACGAGGAGCUUGCUCCUCUGACGUUAGCGGCGGACGGGUGAGUAACACGUGGAUAACCUACCUAUAAGACUGGGAUAACUUCGGGAAACCGGAGCUAAUACCGGAUAAUAUAUUCAACCGCAUGGUUCAAUAGUGAAAGACGGUUUUGCUGUCACUUAUAGAUGGAUCCGCGCCGCAUUAGCUAGUUGGUAAGGUAACGGCUUACCAAGGCGACGAUGCGUAGCCGACCUGAGAGGGUGCUCGGCCACACUGGAACUGAGACACGGUCCAGACUACUACGGGAGGCAGCAGUAGGGAAUCUUCCGCAAUGGGCGAAAGCCUGACGGAGCAACGCCGCGUGAGUGAUGAAGGUCUUCGGAUCGUAAAACUCUGUUAUUAGGGAAGAACAAAUGUGUAAGUAACUAUGCACGUCUUGACGGUACCUAAGCAGAAAGCCACGGCUAACUACGUG
rnacentral:rRNA from 1 species